AUUGGAGGCUGCGUUGCCAGAGCAACGCUCCCCCGCCAUUCUUUCAUUUGCAAUCUGUUCAUCUCUCCAAACCUCAACCACUCUCCUCCGCAUCGCGAGAGUGUAACGCCGGAGCGGCUGAGUUGGAGUGACCUCAUCCCCCCCGCCCCCCGCAGCUGCGACGGCGAGGCGGAGCGAAGUGCUGCUGCAACUUUGGAUGAACUUCUGAGCCCGAGCAGUCGAGAGGCGGACGUUGGAGUACCCAGACGAGUGUCAGUGAGGUGAAGAGACUCGAUGGUUAACGUAUACGUUCAGUCGUAUGUCUUCUUUUUAUUCAACACGGCUCCGUUCUUCGUGACCGUGGUAGCGCCCGAGCCUUUAGCCCCCGGACGGCGGCUCCGCAGUUGAACUUUUGCGAGAAGCCGAAAGGUGGAUAAAUAAAUAAAAGACCACACGGCUGGAGAGCUGGUGAGCCGCCCAGAGUGAGGGAGUACCACCAAUGGCGAUGGGAGUGGUGGCCGAUGCAGGAAACGUCUGAGCUUUGUUUCCUUUCCGAAUCCAUCUUGGUUCCUCGGCGUCCAGUGGUGGCAGGCAGACCUCUGACAGGAAGCGCCCUGAACGGUGGCCCGGUGGUGUCUUCUGGCCGCUCCUCCUUCCCCAUGAUGCUGGUCUUCACCUGAGCCCCUCUUAACCUCCAUCCCGAC
ensembl:lncRNA